AUUGAACGCUGGCGGCAGGCCUAACACAUGCAAGUCGAGCGGAUGAAGGGAGCUUGCUCCUGGAUUCAGCGGCGGACGUGUGAGUAAUGCCUAGGAAUCUGCCUGGUAGUGGGGGAUAACGUCCGGAAACGGGCGCUAAUACCGCAUACGUCCUGAGGGAGAAAGUGGGGGAUCUUCGGACCUCACGCUAUCAGAUGAGCCUAGGUCGGAUUAGCUAGUUGGUGGGGUAAAGGCCUACCAAGGCGACGAUCCGUAACUGGUCUGAGAGGAUGAUCAGUCACACUGGAACUGAGACACGGUCCAGACUCCUACGGGAGGCAGCAGUGGGGAAUAUUGGACAAUGGGCGAAAGCCUGAUCCAGCCAUGCCGCGUGUGUGAAGAAGGUCUUCGGAUUGUAAAGCACUUUAAGUUGGGAGGAAGGGCAGUAAGUUAAUACCUUGCUGUUUUGACGUUACCAACAGGAUAAGCACCGGCUAACUUCGUG
rnacentral:rRNA from 1 species